GGUUAAGCGACUAAGCGUACACGGUGGAUGCCCUGGCAGUCAGAGGCGAUGAAGGACGUGCUAAUCUGCGAUAAGCGUCGGUAAGGUGAUAUGAACCGUUAUAACCGGCGAUUUCCGAAUGGGGAAACCCAGUGUGAUUCGUCACACUAUCAUUAACUGAAUCCAUAGGUUAAUGAGGCGAACCGGGGGAACUGAAACAUCUAAGUACCCCGAGGAAAAGAAAUCAACCGAGAUUCCCCCAGUAGCGGCGAGCGAACGGGGAGGAGCCCAGAGCCUGAAUCAGUGUGUGUGUUAGUGGAAGCGUCUGGAAAGGCGCGCGAUACAGGGUGACAGCCCCGUACACAAAAAUGCACAUGCUGUGAGCUCGAUGAGUAGGGCGGGACACGUGGUAUCCUGUCUGAAUAUGGGGGGACCAUCCUCCAAGGCUAAAUACUCCUGACUGACCGAUAGUGAACCAGUACCGUGAGGGAAAGGCGAAAAGAACCCCGGCGAGGGGAGUGAAAAAGAACCUGAAACCGUGUACGUACAAGCAGUGGGAGCACAGAGCAAUCUGUGUGACUGCGUACCUUUUGUAUAAUGGGUCAGCGACUUAUAUUCUGUAGCAAGGUUAACCGAAUAGGGGAGCCGAAGGGAAACCGAGUCUUAACUGGGCGUUAAGUUGCAGGGUAUAGACCCGAAACCCGGUGAUCUAGCCAUGGGCAGGUUGAAGGUUGGGUAACACUAACUGGAGGACCGAACCGACUAAUGUUGAAAAAUUAGCGGAUGACUUGUGGCUGGGGGUGAAAGGCCAAUCAAACCGGGAGAUAGCUGGUUCUCCCCGAAAGCUAUUUAGGUAGCGCCUCGUGAAUUCAUCUCCGGGGGUAGAGCACUGUUUCGGCAAGGGGGUCAUCCCGACUUACCAACCCGAUGCAAACUGCGAAUACCGGAGAAUGUUAUCACGGGAGACACACGGCGGGUGCUAACGUCCGUCGUGAAGAGGGAAACAACCCAGACCGCCAGCUAAGGUCCCAAAGUCAUGGUUAAGUGGGAAACGAUGUGGGAAGGCCCAGACAGCCAGGAUGUUGGCUUAGAAGCAGCCAUCAUUUAAAGAAAGCGUAAUAGCUCACUGGUCGAGUCGGCCUGCGCGGAAGAUGUAACGGGGCUAAACCAUGCACCGAAGCUGCGGCAGCGACGCUUAUGCGUUGUUGGGUAGGGGAGCGUUCUGUAAGCCUGCGAAGGUGUGCUGUGAGGCAUGCUGGAGGUAUCAGAAGUGCGAAUGCUGACAUAAGUAACGAUAAAGCGGGUGAAAAGCCCGCUCGCCGGAAGACCAAGGGUUCCUGUCCAACGUUAAUCGGGGCAGGGUGAGUCGACCCCUAAGGCGAGGCCGAAAGGCGUAGUCGAUGGGAAACAGGUUAAUAUUCCUGUACUUGGUGUUACUGCGAAGGGGGGACGGAGAAGGCUAUGUUGGCCGGGCGACGGUUGUCCCGGUUUAAGCGUGUAGGCUGGUUUUCCAGGCAAAUCCGGAAAAUCAAGGCUGAGGCGUGAUGACGAGGCACUACGGUGCUGAAGCAACAAAUGCCCUGCUUCCAGGAAAAGCCUCUAAGCAUCAGGUAACAUCAAAUCGUACCCCAAACCGACACAGGUGGUCAGGUAGAGAAUACCAAGGCGCUUGAGAGAACUCGGGUGAAGGAACUAGGCAAAAUGGUGCCGUAACUUCGGGAGAAGGCACGCUGAUAUGUAGGUGAAGCGACUUGCUCGUGGAGCUGAAAUCAGUCGAAGAUACCAGCUGGCUGCAACUGUUUAUUAAAAACACAGCACUGUGCAAACACGAAAGUGGACGUAUACGGUGUGACGCCUGCCCGGUGCCGGAA
rnacentral:rRNA from 1 species